ACCAACAGGGAUUGCCUUAGUAGCGGCGAGUGAAGCGGCAAAAGCUCAAAUUUGAAAUCUGGCUCUUUCAGAGUCCGAGUUGUAAUUUGAAGAAGGUAUCUUUGGGUCUGGCUCUUGUCUAUGUUUCUUGGAACAGAACGUCACAGAGGGUGAGAAUCCCGUGCGAUGAGAUGAUCCAGGCCUAUGUAAAGUUCCUUCGAAGAGUCGAGUUGUUUGGGAAUGCAGCUCUAAGUGGGUGGUAAAUUCCAUCUAAAGCUAAAUAUUGGCGAGAGACCGAUAGCGAACAAGUACAGUGAUGGAAAGAUGAAAAGAACUUUGAAAAGAGAGUGAAAAAGUACGUGAAAUUGUUGAAAGGGAAGGGCUUGAGAUCAGACUUGGUAUUUUGUAUGUUACUUCUUCGGGGGUGGCCUCUACAGUUUAUCGGGCCAGCAUCAGUUUGGGCGGUAGGAGAAUUGCGUUGGAAUGUGGCACGGCUUCGGUUGUGUGUUAUAGCCUUCGUCGAUACUGCCAGCCUAG
rnacentral:rRNA from 1 species